rnacentral:rRNA from 1 species
GAUCCUGGCUCAGGAUGAACGCUGGCGGCGUGCUUAACACAUGCAAGUCGAACGGAACUACUUUGAUGAGAUUCUUCGGAAAGGAUUUGAUUUAGUUUAGUGGCGGACGGGUGAGUAACGUGUGGGUAACCUGCCUCAUACAGGGGGAUAACAGUUGGAAACGGCUGUUAAUACCGCAUAAGCGCACAGUACCGCAUGGUACCGUGUGAAAAACUCCGGUGGUAUGAGAUGGACCCGCGUCUGAUUAG